rnacentral:misc_RNA from 1 species
UGGAGGUCCAGGUCUAGCAUACUCCCAAUUCCGAAAGUUCAAAGCCUUGGGAGGCAAUGGCCGUGGCCUGAACGGCUGAUUCUCAUAAAAAUUGGGUCUAUUAAACUUCUGAUUCUCAUAAAAAUUCGGUCUAUUGAGCUGCUGAUUCUGAUAAUAUUGUGGUCUUAGUGGCGGCUGAGGCACUGCUCUAUUGAACUGCUGAUUCUGAUAAAACCCUGCUGGUGGUGGCAUUGCUCUAUAGGAUUGCUGAUUGGGAUGAAACUGCUGACGUGGUUGAGGAUGCGGCAAUUGUCCAUAAUUAUGAUGAGUAGGAUGAAUAUUUGGCGAUGGUGCCCUAGGCCGGAAAGGUCGAAAAUUAGGAGACGGGCGGAGAUUUCGAUUGGUUUCCCGAACAGAAUUGAAGUGAGAGUCUCCAGUUACAAUAUCGUCUUCACUUCGUUCUCCGGAAGGACGGUGCGAAAAGUUUCUCCUGCCGCGUCCCCUGCCUCCUCGGAAUGAUUGAGCAGAUGACAUGGUGGCGCUGGCGGCGGCAGACGCAGUAUCGGUAAAAGCGGCGGCGGCAAUAAGGUGGCGGGAAGGAGCAG